rnacentral:lncRNA from 1 species
GAGCAUGGCAGCAUUCAGGCAAGCAUGGUCCAGGAGGAGCUGAGAGUUCUACAUCUUUAUCUGAAGACUGCUAGGAGAAGAGUAGCUUCCAGGGAAGGAGAGAAUGAUGCUGGCCACUGCAAGAGGAGAGGGGACUGUGGUUUGCUGGUGGAGUGGUCACAUCAGAGCUUCUGCUGCAGUCUCUUUGCUUCUGGUCAAGUUCUAGCUCUGGGAUUAUUAAUCAAGCAUUAGUAACUCCGGAGUCAAGGCUCUGCAUGGUGCAGCCUCUGAGUUUGGCUCAGAACGGGCAUAUUGCCUGGAGUUUAUGACGCUCACAUUGUUUUUCAUAUCUAGAACGUUGCUUAUGAAAUGUUUAAAAUCGUUUAAUUUCCUGUAUUAGUUUUAUCUAUUAGUUGGAACCAGUGUGAUAAGAAACUUAACCACACCUAUGGCUCCCCUCAAUUCUCAGCUGCCAUCUUUCACCUCCAACACCCCUGAAGCAUGGGGAACAGAGCAAGCCCCAGGUUAUCCUGUGGGUGUAACGUUGCUGCCUCGAAGGAAACUCCAUAAGGUACACAGUUGUCAACACGUUAAGCCUCCCAGUGCCUUCAUCCAAAAACUGCAAUGUCCAGAGACGGCUGCUCAUCAAAAUUCAGAACUAGACUUGAUGCUAAUCUCCCUUUAUCGUGGCCAGUGAGUCAUGGGAUGAAUACGCCAGAGCCACCAGGGACACAGAGAGAGAUGAGGAGAAGCAGAAGCAGAGAUGGGGAGAGAACACAGGACGGGUACCGAGUGACGUCAUGCUCUGUGUGCACAGACCUUCCUCCAUGAACACUGAAUUUUUCAGAGAUUCCCACUAGCCUCCUUUCUGUAAAUCACUUGAUCCAGUGGCUGCA